GGCUUANCCAUAGUACGCUUUGGAAACUGUUUAACUUGAGUGCAAGAGGGGAGAGNGGAAUUCCAUGUGUAGCGGUGAAAUGCGUAGAUAUAUGGAGGAACACCGGUGGCGAAAGCGGCUNUCUGGCUUGUAACUGACGCUGAGGCUCGAAAGCGUGGGGAGCAAACAGGAUUAGAUACCNUGGUAGUCCACGCCGUAAACGAUGAGUGCUAGGUGUUAGACCCUUUCCGGGGUUUAGUGCCGCAGCUAACGCAUUAAGCACUCCGCCUGGGGAGUACGACCGCAAGGUUGAAACUCAAAGGAAUUGACGGGGGCCCGCGCAAGCGGUGGAGCAUGUGGUUUAAUUNGAAGCAACGCGAAGAACCUUACCAGGUCUUGACAUCCCUCUGACCGCUCUAGAGAUAGAGUUUUCCUUCGGGACAGAGGUGACAGGUGGUGCAUGGUUGUCGUCAGCUCGUGUCGUGAGAUGUUGGGUUAAGUCCCGCAACGAGCGCGACCCCUAUUGUUAGUUGCCAUCAUUCAGUUGGGCACUCUAGCGAGACUGCCGGUAAUAAACCGGAGGAAGGUGGGGAUGACGUCAAAUCAUCAUGCCCCUUAUGACCUGGGCUACACACGUGCUACAAUGGCUGGUACAACGAGUCGCAAGCCGGUGACGGCAAGCUAAUCUCUUAAAGCCAGUCUCAGUUCGGAUUGUAGGCUGCAACUCGCCUACAUGAAGUCGGAAUCGCUAGUAAUCGCGGAUCAGCACGCCGCGGUGAAUACGUUCCCGGGCCUUGUNCACA
rnacentral:rRNA from 1 species